UGGGUUUGACAUGCACAGGACGUGCCUAGAGAUAGGUAUUCCCUUGUGGCCUGUGUGCAGGUGGUGCAUGGCUGUCGUCAGCUCGUGUCGUGAGAUGUUGGGUUAAGUCCCGCAACGAGCGCAACCCUUGUCUCAUGUUGCCAGCACGUAAUGGUGGGGACUCGUGAGAGACUGCCGGGGUCAACUCGGAGGAAGGUGGGGAUGACGUGCCGCAAC
rnacentral:misc_RNA from 1 species